UGGGGAAUUUUGGACAAUGGGGGAAACCCUGAUCCAGCCAUCCCGCGUGUGCGAUGAAGGCCUUCGGGUUGUAAAGCACUUUUGGCAGGAAAGAAACGUCAUGGGUUAAUACCCCGUGAAACUGACGGUACCUGCAGAAUAAGCACCGGCUAACUACGUGCCAGCAGCCGCGGUAAUACGUAGGGUGCAAGCGUUAAUCGGAAUUACUGGGCGUAAAGCGUGCGCAGGCGGUUCGGAAAGAAAGAUGUGAAAUCCCAGAGCUCAACUUUGGAACUGCGUUUUUAACUACCGGGCUAGAGUGUGUCAGAGGGAGGUUGAAUUCCGCGUGUAGCAGUGAAAUGCGUAGAUAUGCGGAGGAACACCGAUGGCGAAGGCAGCCUCCUGGGAUAACACUGACGCUCAUGCACGAAAGCGUGGGGAGCAAACAGG
rnacentral:rRNA from 1 species